GGGACCUUGGCGCAGUUGGCUAGCGCGCAGGUCUCAUACUAAUCACAUGUAUGAUCUGGCUGGUAUUAACAGCUCAGAGUAAUCCUGAGGUCGGGAGUUCGAGCCUCCCAGGUCCCA
rnacentral:tRNA from 1 species